rnacentral:rRNA from 1 species
CUAAUGGAGAGUUUGAUCCUGGCUCAGGACGAACGCUGGCGGCGCGCUUAACACAUGCAAGUCGAACGGGUCGGCCUUCUUCGGAGGGCCGGUCAGUGGCGAACGGGUGCGUAACACGUGAGCAA